ACACUGGUGGUUUAGUGGUAGAAUUCUCACGUCCCACCCAGGAGACCUGGGUUCAAUUCCUGGCCAGUGUA
rnacentral:tRNA from 1 species